GACAGAGGAUGCAAGCGUUAUCCGGAAUGAUUGGGCGUAAAGCAUCUGUAGGUGGCUUUUUAAGUCUGCCGUCAAAUCCCAGGGCUUAACCCUGGACAGGCGGUGGAAACUACCAAGCUGGAGUACGGUAGGGGCAGGGGGAAUUUCCGGUGGAGCGGUGAAAUGCGUAGAGAUCGGAAAGAACACCAACGGCGAAAGCACUCUGCUGGGCCGACACUGACACUGAGAGACGAAAGCUAGGGGAGCGAAUGGG
rnacentral:rRNA from 1 species